UAUACCAGGAGGGGUUAGCAGGAGGCGGCUCCUGGGAGGCUCAGCAUAGAGGCUGCCUGCCUCGGGCAAGGUCCAGCUGCCGCCUGUCCACACGUCUCCGCCUGUUAGUGCCACUUAAGCAGAGAGAUCCGAAGCGGUGGUGGCACGUUGGGCUUCUCAUGGGAGACCUUG